UUUGAAUGUUUAUGCUAUCAUUUAUUAUUUUAGAAAGUAAACAAGAAAGAGUUAUAGAUAAACAUUAACGACGUGCCUGAAUUUUCAUUUAAUUUCUCAGUAGGAAGUAGAAAUAAGGUCAUGAAUAUGUCCUGAGAAUGUGAGGGCUGCCAAAAUACACUGUAGAUGCUUUUCAGAGAAAAACAGUAGAUAUCAAAUAACUGUUGAGUCAUAAAACCCAGAUGUUGGUUACAGCUUGCAUUGGUGAGAAGUAUAUAAUCACCACCACUAUAGCUGCCCAAUGUCCAUUUCUGCUUUGAGAACUUCCCCGAAAGCCUGUUUCUAAUUUUAUGGAAACCCUUUGAAAUUUGGCACAGUUUACAAAAGUAUGUAGGGAAAAAAAAGUCUGCCAGAGGUUUGGGCUCUAACUGUGAAAACAGACACUGCUUUUUCCAACUCCUCUCCUAGAUCCGCUGACCAGCUCUCAGAAAAAAGUUUGUGUUCUUUAGGAAGACUGCAGAAAAAUGAAGACCCGGCUAAAAGUACUAUUUGGCGUGGUUGUAUGUGUUUUGCUUUCCUUAUUACUCAUGUGUAUUGUACUGCUUCCAUCCAAAGUUGUCACCACAGCUGAUGGUCCUAGAGCUCUUACACUGGAUGAUUACUUGAAUGGAAAUUUUCAGUAUAAAACAUAUUUUCCGUACUGGGUGUCAGAUAGUGAAUAUCUUCACCAGAAUCCAGAAGAUGAUAUUAUUCUUUUCAAUGUUGAUAUGAACUACGUAACUACCAUUAUGACCAACAGCACAAUGAAACAAGUUAAUGCUUCAAAUUAUGUGAUGUCAUCAGACAAAUACUUUAUAGCAUUGGAGAGCAACUAUUCAAAGCUGUGGAGAUAUUCUUAUACUGCAUCAUAUCACAUUUAUGAUCUUAUAUAUGGUGGUUUUGUAACAGAAAAUCAGCUUCCACAUAAAAUUCAGUAUAUAUCCUGGUCACCUGUUGGACACAAAUUGGCAUAUGUUUACCAAAAUAAUAUCUAUUUGAAACAAAGUCCAAGAGAGGCACCAAUUCAGCUAACUAGUGAUGGAAAAGAAAAUGAAAUAUUUAAUGGGAUACCUGAUUGGGUCUAUGAAGAGGAAAUGCUAGCGACAAAAUAUGCAUUGUGGUGGUCUCCAAGUGGAAAAUACUUAGCAUAUGUACAAUUUAAUGAUUCUGACAUACCAGUAAUUGAAUAUUCAUAUUUUGGUGAGGAACAGUACCCAAGAAAAAUAAUUAUCCCAUAUCCCAAGGCUGGUGCUAAAAAUCCUACUGUUAAAGUGUUUAUUGUAGACACUAUUAACAUUGAAGCAUUUGGUCCUAAAGAGGUUCCAGUUCCUGCAGUGAUCGCAUCAAGUGAUCAUUAUUUUACUUGGCUUACUUGGGUAACAGAUAAUCGAGUUGGUGUGCAGUGGUUAAAGAGAAUCCAGAAUUUUUCAGUCUUAGCUAUUUGUGACUUCAAAGAAAAUUCAAAUACUUGGGUCUGUCCAGAGAAUCAACAGCACAUAGAGGAGAGUCAAACAGGAUGGGCAGGCGGAUUCUUUGUUUCUGCACCAUAUUUUACCUCAGACAGCAGUUCAUACUACAAAAUUUUUAGUGACAAAAAUGGUUAUAAGCACAUACAUUACAUCAAUGGUUCUGUGGAGAAUGCAAUCCAAAUUACAAGUGGAGAAUGGGAGGCAAUUUAUAUUUUUAGAGUAACAAAUGAUGCAAUUUUCUACUCAAGCAAUGAAUUUGAAGGCUAUCCAGGAAGAAGAAAUAUUUACAAAAUUAGUAUUGGGAGUAAGCCUAUCAGAAAACUAUGCAUUACUUGCAAUUUACGGAAAGAGAGAUGCCAGUAUUAUACAGCGAGGUUCAGUGAGCGCUCUAAGUAUUAUGCCUUGAUCUGUUAUGGUCCUGGGAUUCCUAUUUCUACUCUUUUUGAGAAUGAGAGUGAUAGAGAGCUCAGAAUAUUAGAAGACAAUCAGGAAUUGCAGUCUGCUUUGCAAGAGAUCAUACUGCCAAAAGAAGAAAUUAAUAAACUUGAAGUGGAUGGUAUAACUUUGUGGUACAAAAUGCUUAUACCUCCACAAUUUGAUAGAUCCAAGAAGUACCCACUGCUUAUUCAAGUGUAUGGAGGACCAUGCAGUCAGAAUGUAAAACACACAUUUAGCAUUAGCUGGAUAACCUAUCUUGCAAGCAAAGAGGGAAUUAUUGUUGCUUUAGUAGAUGGCAGAGGAACAGCUUAUCAAGGUGACAAGAUUUUGCAUGCAGUUUAUCGAAGACUAGGAGUCUAUGAAGUUGAGGACCAAAUCUCAGCAGUGAAGAAAUUCAUAGAAAUGGGUUUUAUUGAUGAGAAACGAAUAGCAAUAUGGGGCUGGUCCUAUGGUGGAUAUGUAACUUCUCUGGCACUUGGAUCUGGCAGUGGAGUAUUUAAAUGUGGAAUAGCUGUGGCUCCUGUUUCCAGCUGGGAAUAUUAUGCAUCUAUCUACACAGAACGAUUUAUGGGUCUUCCUGUAGAGUCCGAUAAUCUUGAGCACUAUAAGAACUCAACUGUAAUGGCAAGAGCAAAGAAUUUCCAAAACGUUGAGUAUCUUCUCAUUCAUGGAACAGCAGAUGAUAACGUACAUUUUCAGAACUCAGCACAAAUUGCAAAAGCUCUGGUUAAUGCACAGGUGGAUUUUCAGGCAAUGUGGUACACUGACCAGAAUCAUGGAAUUCCUGGACUUUCCAGCAAACAUCUCUACACACAUAUGACCCACUUCCUCAAACAAUGUUUUUCUUUGUCAGAAUAGGUAGACUACUCAGAGAAUGCUAAGCCAUCUGGUAUAUCUCUGAGAGAAUCCCACGAUAGCAGUGCCCAGGUUGUAUCAUGUUCAGAAACGAUCCAGAGCACUUCUAACCAGCCACUGCAGAAUCAUAUGAUGAUUGAAGUUGGAAGAGUCUUCUUGUCCCACCAAGACUGAUUCAGUGGCUCAAGCACAGCCACCUAGAACAUGUUGUUCAGGACCACGUCCAGAUACCUUUUGAACAUCUCUAAGGACGGAGAGACUCCACAAUUUCUUUGAGCAACUUUGCCAGUGCUCAGUCACCUGCACAGUAAAGCUGUUGUGCCAGACAGAACACCUGUUUUCAAUUUGUGCACAUUGCCUCUCAUCCUCGCACUGAUCACAGCUGAAAAGAGCCUGGCAUCAUCUUCUUUACACCUCCCUUUCAGAUGUUUAUAUAUAUUCCUAAGAUCCAUACCCCAAUUCUCCUUUUCUCAAGAAAAAGUCCUUUUCCUUUCUGCUUUGCUUUCCAAGCCAAUCACAAUCCAUGUGAAAUCAUCAUCAAAGACACUUUCUAGGACAAUUAUUUGCCCCAUUCCUUCUCCUUAGUUGAGCCUACAAUAUUUAACUACAGUUCU